rnacentral:rRNA from 1 species
UGAGGGAUAUUGCACAAUGGGCGCAAGCCUGAUGCAGCGACGCCGCGUGGAUGAAGAAGGCCUUCGGGUCGUAAAAUCCUUUUGCGCAUGACGAGAACAAGGACGGUAGUGCGCGAAGAAGUCUCGGCUAACUACGUGCCAGCAGCCGCGGUAAAACGUAGGAGACGAACGUUAUCCGGAGUUACUGGGCGUAAAGGGCGUGCAGGCGGUCUGAUAAGUUCGGCGUGAAAUAUUCCGGCUUAACCGGAAUAGGUCGUCGGAGACUGUCGGACUAGAGGGCGAUAGAGGCGUGUGGAAUUCCGGGUGUAGUGGUGAAAUGCGUAGAGAUCCGGAGGAACACCAGUGGCGAAGGCGACACGCUGGGUCACACCUGACGCUAAAACGCGACAGCAUGGGGAGCGAACGGGAUUAGAUACCCCCGUAGUCC